UUUUUAAAUGACUUGUGCCUGCAUUUGAGCCACCAGUAAGAAAUUUAUUACAAAUUUUACAUUUUGCUUUUAUUUCUUUUUUAUUAUUUUCUAAAAUUAUUUCUAUUCUAUCAAAAAAAUUCCAUAUAUUUGAAGUAAAUUUUUUAUUUGAUGAUAUUUCAUCACAUGGACUAGAUGAAGAAGCACUUGCCAUAUUAUAAUUAUUGAUAAAAUAUUAUGCCAAAAAUAAUAAAGUAAUAAAUGUAAAAAAAAAAUGUAACAAAAAAAUAAAGUAGUAGGGGUGAAGUAUGUUACUCAAUUAGAGAACCGAUACAGAAAUUCUUAACAAAUUUGAACUCUUGAAGCCACCAAUGCUUGUUUUGCACCACCAACAAUAUUGUAUAAUUUGAGGGAAAAAUAAAAAAAAUUGAAAUAUUGUAGAAUGUGAGAGAAAUAGAGAGAAUUUGAUGAAAAAAAGAAAAAAAAGAAAAUGUAUUUAUAGGAAGGUUAAAAAAAAAAAAAAUUCAAACUUUAAAAUAAUUGACCAUGUGACCGUUGGAGGCUUAGCUCCAACGGUCACAUGGGCUGGAGCCUUUAAUUUUUUUUAAAAAAAUAAUAUACUUUAUUUAUAUAUAUAUAUAUAACUAACUCAAUAAAUAAACAUAAAAAGAAUGUAGUUUAGCUGGUUAGAAGCUUAAAGUUUAAACAUGAAGAGAGGGGUUUGAAUCCCCCUCUCUCCCUUCCCUUGGCUUUUUUGAAAACCAUUUUGGCUUAAUUCAAAAAGCCUGCCAGCCCAGCCCGCCUGCCAGCCCGCGGGCUCAUAGGCCGGGCCGCGGGCCUAGCAUUUUAGCAUGGCCCGGCCCGUUGACAGUCCCGGCCCGAGCUGGGCCGCGGGCCUCCUAUUUACGGCCCUGCCCGCCCGUUGGAGACCCCUAAUAAGGAAAAUGGCCAUAAAAAAGAUAAGAAACUAUUCAUCAUAUUAUAUUAUUAUUAUUUUUUAGAAGAUGGUGGAAAAUGAGUGGAUUGUCGUAUCGCAAAGGUAUGGAAUCUAUGGAUGAUAUUGCAUUCUCCUGAAAAGAUCACCAUUCGGUAAGGCAAGGAAAGUGGAUUGCAUCUUUAAAUGAUUGAAUUUAGAAAGGCUCCUUGCCUAUGUCAAUGCUAACUUCUUGGGCUCGCAUUAAAAGGCCCUCUUGGGCCAACCGAAGGAACCCAUGUUGUUCAAAGCUGAUUCGUUGGGCUGGUCUUGUCAAAACCCAAUCUGAUUAAUAAGUGAUUCCAAGUCCCAAGUAGUUUUUUGGCGUGAUUGAAAAUCAUUCCAAGGCUUCAAGGCAAACCCAAGAUUCAUACUUGCUUCAACGGAGCAAGCAUGAGAAAAUAUCAAUUUAACCUACAAGUUUUAAAUCGUUUCAACUUAGUAAAAGUCAUCACCUUGACAUACAAUAUAAACAAUUGUUAUAACUGAAGUAAUGAAUGUAACCACGUUAAUUAUAAUAAAUGUUAAUUAAGUAUUAUUUAUAACUUCCAUUAAUACUUAUUAAUGGAAACCAUUAAUGUUAUUUAUGAGUUCCAUUCAUAUUCAUUAAUGGGAAUAUUAAUGGAAUCCAUUUGGAAAGCCUAUAAAAGGAAUUCUCAUCCCCUGUAAUAUGCAUCCCUAAGUAAGAAAGAAAUUUCUUUCUUUCUCUCAUUAUCUCUGUCUUUUAUUCUCUCAACUCUCUUCUCUGACUCCUUCCCAUUAUAUAUAUUGUUAAAGUAAUAUAUAUUUUAUCUCUACUACUUUGACUUGUGUUGCAUUUAUUCUCGUUUUUACAACACGUUAUCAACACGAAUUGCUUUGAAGGUAAUUCUCGUAUCUUAAAUUUAAAAUUAUCUAUAUAGAAUUUUUUUUACAUAUUUAUAUUAUUGUUGAUUUGUUUUGUUAUAUAUUGUUAAAAGUUAUAAACAAAUUACUUGAUUUUAUUUAUAAUCAGAAGUUAUACCAAUGUUAUCAAUUUAUUAUAAUCGAUUCUAAUAAUAUUAUUUUGUCAUACAUAUAAAGUUAUUUGACAAUGUCGAAUAUCACAAAACUCGAAUUUGUGGCACUUGACAUUUUGAGAAAGAACUAUCUAUCUUGGAUCCUUGAUGUUGAAAUACAUCUUGAUGUAAUGAAUUUUGUAACUAUGAUCAAAGAAGAAAAUCAAGCAUCCUUGCAGGAUCAUGCAAAAACACUGAUUUUCCUUCGUCAUCAUAUCCAUGAAGAUUAAAAAAAAAAAAAAAAA
rnacentral:lncRNA from 1 species